rnacentral:rRNA from 1 species
CCUACGGGUUGUAAACUUCUUUUGUCAGGGAGCAAUUGAGUCCACGUGUGGGCUUAGCGAGAGUACCUGAAGAAAAAGCAUCGGCUAACUCCGUGCCAGCAGCCGCGGUAAUACGGAGGAUGCGAGCGUUAUCCGGAUUUAUUGGGUUUAAAGGGUGCGUAGGCGGAAUAUCAAGUCAGCGGUAAAAAUUCGGGGCUCAACCCCGUCGUGCCGUUGAAACUGAUGUUCUUGAGUGGGCGAGAAGUAUGCGGAAUGCGUGGUGUAGCGGUGAAAUGCAUAGAUAUCACGCAGAACUCCGAUUGCGAAGGCAGCUUACCAAGCUACGUCUGACGUUGAGGCACGAAAGCGUGGGGAGCUAACAGGAUUAGAUACCCUAGUAGUC